UACGAAGGGGGCUAGCGUUGUUCGGAAUUACUGGGCGUAAAGCGCACGUAGGCGGGUUUGUAAGUAGGGGGUGAAAUCCCAGGGCUCAACCCUGGAAUUGCCUUCUAGACUGCAAGCCUGGAGGUCAGGAGAGGCGAGCGGAAUUCCGAGUGUAGAGGUGAAAUUCGUAGAUAUUCGGAGGAACACCAGUGGCGAAGGCGGCUCGCUGGACUGAUACUGACGCUGAGGUGCGAAAGCGUGGGGAGCAAACAGG
rnacentral:rRNA from 1 species